GGUAUAGAAAAUACACUGUUAAAUAUAAGAAUUCACACAAAAUUGUAUUUAUAUCUCAUAUGGUUACCUGAUGUAAAAAUGAGCGCUUCCCCUUUAAGAGUUGUGAUGUCACAUGUGACUUAACUUCCUGUGCUGCUACCUCCUCUUCCCUUUUGUACUGUUAUCUUGUGGAAGAGGUAGGUUUUUCUUUGGUCUCCUGAUAUUUUAUUUAUUUUUAAUCUUCUGAACUUAUAUUUUCACUUAAAUUAAUUUUGUAUAAUGUUAUUUUACUUAUCUGUGUGGUUAAUUGUGUCAUUUUAUACUUUUGAAUAAUAAUCUUAUCUUUAAUUGUGUGGAAGUAAGAGCACAUGGUGAUAAAUGUACAACAUGUGUAUUUUAGAAUCAAAAGGGCAUUACCAUCUAAAAGAGGCUGCUUAUUUGUUUCAUGUGUCAGGUAUGUUUGUUGUAUUUUUCCCUUUUGUACUGUUAUCUUGUGGAAGAGAAUCAAAAGGGCAUUACCAUCUAAAAGAGGCUGCUUAUUUGUUUCAUGUGUCAGGAAAUAAAAUGUUCUUGGAGAAGAACCAAAGCCUGCUGUCCUGUAUCUGAUUCAGUGAGGUCACAACGCAGAGUCCAGUUAAUUCACCGGUGUCGCCGGAUGCAUAUAAAGUUUGGCAUCGCGAGUCACCGGUUACACAAAACCUGAGAUGGAUCCAAAGAUGAAGAAACCAGGGUAGGCAUAGGAGUUUACAUACCAACAUUGAAUAUCAUUUCCAUGCUGCAUACUCCGAUACAGUAGGUGGCGGUAUGCACCUGAUAAGUCAUGGUUGCAAUCUGCCAUAAAACGAAAAAGAAGAAGAAGAAGAAGAGUACGGCUGCGAGUGAUGUCAGCAGGAUCCGCAUGCUGGAUAAGAACAGCAUUUGUGAGACGACAUCAACUCAUCAUCCGAGUGGACAAGAACACCAACAGAGGAAGCCAAGCCGCAAAAACAAUGAAAAAUUGUCAUGAC